GCCACAUCAUGUUGAGAACCCAGUUCCUGUACGAUCACCAAAGUUAAGCAACAUCAAGCUUGGUCAGUACCUAGAUGGGUGACCUCUUAGAAAUACCAGGUGUUAUA